rnacentral:rRNA from 1 species
GACGGAGGGUGCAAGCGUUGCUCGGAAUCACUGGGCGUAAAGGGUGCGUAGGCGGCCGCGCAAGUCUGGCGUGAAAGCCCCGGGCUCAGCCCGGGAAGGGCGCUCGAAACGGCGCGGCUCGAGUGCCGGAGGGGAGAGUGGAAUUCCUGGUGUAGCGGUGAAAUGCGUAGAUAUCAGGAGGAAUACCGGUGGCGAAAGCGACUCUCUGGACGGCAACUGACGCUGAGGCACGAAAGCGUGGGGAGCAAACAGG